rnacentral:rRNA from 1 species
AUUGAACGCUGGCGGCAGGCCUAACACAUGCAAGUCGAGCGAGCGGCGGACGGGUGAGUAAUGUCUGUGAAACUGCCUGAUGGAGGGGGCUAACUACUGGAAACGGUAGCUAAUACCGCAUACCAUCAGAUGUGCCCCGGUGGGAUUAGCUAGUGGGUGGGGUAAAGGCCCACCAAGGCGACGAUCCCUAGCUGGUCUGAGAGGAUGACCAGCCACACUGGAACUGAGACACUGGCCAGACUCCUACGGGAGGCAGCAGUGGGGAAUAUUGGACAAUGGGCGAAAGCCUGAUCCAGCCAUGCCGCGUGUGUGAAGAAGGCCUUCGGGUUGUAAAGCACUUUCAGCGGGGAGGCGUUACCCGCAGAAGAAGCACCGGCUAACUCCGUGCCAGCAGCCGCGGUAAUUC